rnacentral:tRNA from 3 species
GGGCUGCUAACUCAAUGGUAGAGUACUCGGCUUUUAAUCGAUUUGUUCCGGGUUCGAUCCCCGGGCAGCCCA